UACGUAGGGAGCAAGCGUUGUCCGGAAUCAUUGGGCGUAAAGCGCGCGUAGGUGGCCCCGUAAGUCCGCUGUGAAAGUCAAAGGCUCAACCUUUGAAAGCCGGUGGAUACUGUGGGACUAGAGUACGGAAGGGGCGAGUGGAAUUCCUGGUGUAGCGGUGGAAUGCGCAGAUAUCAGGAGGAACACCAAUAGCGAAGGCAGCUCGCUGGGACGUUACUGACACUGAGGCGCGAAAGCGUGGGGAGCGAACAGG
rnacentral:rRNA from 1 species